UGUUCAAAAAUUCUCCCAAAACACUCCAUUGUUAGCCGUUGCACCAAUAUUUUAAGUUUUACGGAAUUGAGAUGGGCGCAUUUUUCCUUUUAUGAAGGAAAGACACAAUUAUAUGCUGGGGUAAAUUAUCCUAAUUCAAGGAAGUUGGAAAUAAAAUAAUGAUCUCUGUACAUUCGUGCAGCGGUAUAGCAAAUGCACCCCCCCCCCUCCGCCGGAGAAAAGGAGGAAGAAGCAAGGAACGGAGGUAAAAUUUUUGCACUUUAUAUUCGAACUGCAUAUUAUUAGAUUUAAAAUGUCGACAAUUUUCCGGGGGGAGCCCCCCGUGGCCCCAUGCACCUGUCCCGCUCGAAUUGUCUGGAAAAUUUUGUAUAUCUACAAGUAAAUCUUGUUUAUUUAAAGGGAAUAAAAUCUUUUACUCAAAUCUUGAAAGAUAUCCUGGCAUUCAAUUUCAAAUUUCCCUCGUGAAUCUGUUGACAUCGAUGAUGACCAGUGCGGCGGUAUGUUGUACGGUGCAAAUUCGGCGGGUACUUGCAUUUUGCUCGCUUGCAGUUUACCGCGAACCGGAAGCGAACAAGGCAAGGCAAGUCAUUAUUUAUAUCCAGCAUUACGUCAUACAAAGAGUGUGUCGUUGCCCGCCUGCAUUGUUGCUGGCCGUCCAACAGACUUUUUCACUCGAAUUACGUCACGACUUAUUAUCAACGCAUUUACUUGCGCUCAUGCAUUUUUGAAUCAGCCUUUCUGGCGAAUUUGAUUUGUCGCCUGGGAAUUGUCGAAUUGUCAAAUGGCGAUAAUUUGCCACAGUAUUCGGUUAGUGUUUUAAGAUUAGUUCUAUUCGUUUUCAAUGAGCAAAUUCCUCCGUUAGUGGCGUCCUUAUCACUCUUCAAUUUGAAAAUGGUUCACGGGCUGUCUACAACGCCUAACCCCACCUGGAGGCUUCGAAGCAAUGGCCACACAAAAAUCACCACCGAGUCGCCAAACCGAACGCCACAUAAAAUCCAAUUAACUCCUCCACAGCCUCUGGCUUCCCUUCAAAGCUCUCCUGCCGAGAGCAGAACCAGAAGAAGGUAUGUUACGUACAACAUGUAG
rnacentral:lncRNA from 1 species